UGGCUCAUUAAAUCAGUUAUCGUUUAUUUGAUAGUACCUUACUACUUGGAUAACCGUGGUAAUUCUAGAGCUAAUACAUGCUAAAAACCCCGACUUCGGAAGGGGUGUAUUUAUUAGAUAAAAAACCAAUGCCCUUCGGGGCUCCUUGGUGAUUCAUAAUAACUUAACGAAUCGCAUAGCCUUGUGCUGGCGAUGGUUCAUUCAAAUUUCUGCCCUAUCAACUUUCGAUUGUAUGGUAUUGGCUUACAAUGGUUUCAACGGGUAACGGGGAAUUAGGGUUCUAUUCCGGAGAGGGAGCCUGAGAAACGGCUACCACAUCCAAGGAAGGCAGCAGGCGCGCAAAUUACCCAAUCCCGACACGGGGAGGUAGUGACAAUAAAUACUGAUACAGGGCUCUUUUGGGUCUUGUAAUUGGAAUGAGUACAAUUUAAAUCCCUUAACGAGGAACAAUUGGAGGGCAAGUCUGGUGCCAGCAGCCGCGGUAAUUCCAGCUCCAAUAGCGUAUAUUAAAGUUGUUGCAGUUAAAAAGCUCGUAGUUGAACCUUGGGUUUGGUUGGUCGGUCCGCCUCACCGCGUGCACUGAUCCGACCGAAUCUUUCCUUCUGGGGAACCGUAUGCCCUUCACUGGGUGUGCUGGGGAACCAGGACUUUUACUUUGAAAAAAUUAGAGUGUUCAAAGCAGGCCUAUGCUCGAAUACAUUAGCAUGGAAUAAUAGAAUAGGACGUGUGGUUCUAUUUUGUUGGUUUCUAGGACCGCCGUAAUGAUUAAUAGGGAUAGUCGGGGGCAUCAGUAUUCAAUUGUCAGAGGUGAAAUUCUUGGAUUUAUUGAAGACUAACUACUGCGAAAGCAUUUGCCAAGGAUGUUUUCAUUAAUCAGUGAACGAAAGUUAGGGGAUCGAAGACGAUCAGAUACCGUCGUAGUCUUAACCAUAAACUAUGCCGACUAGGGAUCGGGCGGUGUUAUCUUUUUGACCCGCUCGGCACCUUACGAGAAAUCAAAGUC
rnacentral:rRNA from 1 species